rnacentral:rRNA from 1 species
UUAAAUUGAAGAGUUUGAUCAUGGCUCAGAUUGAACGCUGGCGGCAGGCCUAACACAUGCAAGUCGAGCGGCAGCG